rnacentral:rRNA from 1 species
UACGGGGGGAGCAAGCGUUGUUCGGAUUUCCGGGCGUAAAGGGCGCGUAGGCGGUCAGCACAAGUCAGUUGUGAAAUCUCCGGGCUUAACUCGGAAAGGUCAACUGAUACUGUGCGACUAGAGUGCGGAAGGGGCAACUGGAAUUCUCGGUGUAGCGGUGAAAUGCGUAGAUAUCGAGAGGAACACCUGCGGCGAAGGCGGGUUGCUGGGCCGACACUGACGCUGAUGCGCGAAAGCCAGGGGAGCGAACGGG